AGUUUCUCCUCUGCUAAGGAGAGACUGGACUAGCUGAUCUUCGCCGUCCUUCCUGCUCUGAUCUCCUACGAAAACAUCCCCACAGCAUACAGAGCCCCUAAGACCUUUUUCAGUCUCCAGCAAUGAGAGUGAAGGGGCUCCGGAGGAGGCAGGUCUGUGCUCAGACAAGCAGAUGUGGGGUAUGCUGGCAGUCUCACGGCCUGCUGGCUGCACAGGAAAACCCCUGGAAGGCGAGGAGACCUUCACCUUGACCAAAUCAGCAAUUAGCGGGACCCAAUUUGGCAAGAGCUUAGCACAAAGCAGGAAUGAGGAACCGAGGAAACGCUCUGAACCAUGUUCAAGAAACACGUCUUCCUGCCUUGGGAACGUCGGGUCUGUCUUCCCCGGGACGUCCUACACCUUCCCACCACUGCAGGGCGGGCUUCUGCCACCAGGACCACCACCCCAGCAGGAAGUCGCCUUAAACACUCCCUCCAACAACCCUUUACUUGGGCACAGUCACCAAGCCUUGGUGAUACACAGCCAUGGGGCCCGCCUCACGUCAGCCCCGUAAGGCGGGCAGUUCCGAGGUUCUUAGACCCGUUUCACAGAGGAAGAUGAGAGACGCGUCGUGACUUACCAGUCAGACGGCUGGGAGUCACAUGGCCUACACUUAGCGUUCCAGGCAGUGGGAUCAGAAGGUAGCCAGGAUGGGGGACGGGACGGGGCGGGGUCCGGGUUGAUGUAGCCGAGGAUUGGAAAGAUUUGGCUGAGUGAUCGCAGCUCCUCUGUGCCCAGAAAGUCCCACUUUGAGUCACCUGCCUCUCCCCGCCAAGACAGCAGCACCUGCCCCGCUGGGCCCUGCUGAAUCAUCUCCCUUUUGCUGCUUCCGCAAGGUACUCUCAGUCAGGCCCUCUUUCUGGCUUUCGUAGGCUCUGACUCAAGGUUCGUUUCAGGUAGGCAGUAUCUGUGGAAGCUUCUGGUGUAGGGCCUACGUCUAAGUAAGAGGAGGCGUUUGGGAGUUACUGUGAAAGAGCAGCACCCUGAACAGCAUCUGACCUCGGAGGAAAGAGGUACACAGGUCUACGGUGGCAGUGGUAAUACCCAGUUACAUAACCAGGCCAACAAUUAGAACUUGCGUGUCUGUAGCACCUGU